rnacentral:rRNA from 1 species
GAUGAACGCUGGCGGCGUGCCUAAUACAUGCAAGUCGAGCGAACAGAUGAGGAGCUUGCUCCUCUGACGUUAGCGGCGGACGGGUGAGUAACACGUGGAUAACCUACCUAUAAGACUGGGAUAACUUCGGGAAACCGGAGCUAAUACCGGAUAAUAUAUUGAACCGCAUGGUUCAAUAGUGAAAGACGGUUUUGCUGUCACUUAUAGAUGGAUCCGCGCCGCAUUAGCUAGUUGGUAAGGUAACGGCUUACCAAGGCAACGAUGCGUAGCCGACCUGAGAGGGUGAUCGGCCACACUGGAACUGAGACACGGUCCAGACUCCUACAGGAGGCAGCAGUAGGGAAUCUUCCGCAAUGGGCGAAAGCUUGACGGAGCAACGCCGCGUGAGUGAUGAAGGUCUUCGGAUCGUAAAACUCUGUUAUUAGGGAAGAACAAAUGUGUAAGUAACUAUGCACGUCUUGACGGUACCUAAUCAGAAAGCCACGGCUAACUACGUG